rnacentral:piRNA from 1 species
UGGCUCCCGGGAAGUGAGGGAAGGUCCCA